GACGAACGCUGGCGGCGUGCUUAACACAUGCAAGUCGAACGGUAAGGCCCUUCGGGGUACACGAGUGGCGAACGGGUGAGUAACACGUGGGUGAUCUGCCCUGCACUUCGGGAUAAGCCUGGGAAACUGGGUCUAAUACCGGAUAGGACCACUGCCUGCAUGGGUGGUGGUGGAAAGCUUUUGCGGUGUGGGAUGGGCCCGCGGCCUAUCAGCUUGUUGGUGGGGUGAUGGCCUACCAAGGCGACGACGGGUAGCCGGCCUGAGAGGGGAACCGGCCACACUGGGACUGAGAUACGGCCCAGACUCCUACGGGAGGCAGCAGUGGGGAAUAUUGCACAAUGGGCGCAAGCCUGAUGCAGCGACGCCGCGUGAGGGAUGACGGCCUUCGGGUUGUAAACCUCUUUCAGCACCGACGAAGCGCAAGUGACGGUAGGUGCAGAAGAAGGACCGGCCAACUACGUGCCAGCCGCCGCAGUAACAC
rnacentral:rRNA from 1 species